rnacentral:misc_RNA from 1 species
CAGCAAAACGACAGCGUUUGGAAUCGAUGCGUCGCUAUUGGCGAAUCAUCCAUAAACAAGUGAAAGAGAUAAAUCGAAUCUGAGGAGGAACUGUAGAGAGAGAGAGGAAUUUAAGGAUAGAGUGUUGAAUUGCGUGAAUGUGCCGGUUUUUAUAAGUGACGUUUCGUUAUCGUUUCGGUUGUGAUUGGAAUCGAAAAAUUCCACACACACGGCCUAAACAAACCUAGAAAUUAGAGAGGGAGAGAGAUGAUCUGAUAUUGUUUGGUGAGCCGAGACGCCAGACUAGUGUAUUUGCAGCAGAGAUUCAGAGAAGGGAAGUGAAAGCUACGUUUCGGUUUGGAAGAGAGAGAGAGAGAGUAAUUUUCCUUUUCGUGUGAGCAGUGGAGGUUGUUGGUUAGUCUGAAGUCUGAAGAUGAAAUAGCGGUUGUACCGGCCGUCAACCAAUCUGGCGAUUACUUUGAUUGAAAAAAGAAAACUGUGAUCCUCUUCCUCUGUUCAGUGUUCCGGGCGUCGCGUCUUGUAUGUUUCAGGCGUAAUCCAUUUACCAAUUUAAUAAACCUUUCAUGAUUGUCG